CUGACCGAUAGUGAACCAGUACCGUGAGGGAAAGGCGAAAAGAACCCCGGCGAGGGGAGUGAAAAAGAACCUGAAACCGUGUACGUACAAGCAGUGGGAGCACGCUUCGGCGUGUGACUGCGUACCUUUUGUAUAAUGGGUCAGCGACUUAUAUUCUGUAGCAAGGUUAACCGAAUAGGGGAGCCGAAGGGAAACCGAGUCUUAACUGGGCGUUAAGUUGCAGGGUAUAGACCCGAAACCCGGUGAUCUAGCCAUGGGCAGGUUGAAGGUUGGGUAACACUAACUGGAGGACCGAACCGACUAAUGUUGAAAAAUUAGCGGAUGACUUGUGGCUGGGGGUGAAAGGCCAAUCAAACCGGGAGAUAGCUGGUUCUCCCCGAAAGCUAUUUAGGUAGCGCCUCGUGAAUUCAUCUCCGGGGGUAGAGCACUGUUUCGGCAAGGGGGUCAUCCCGACUUACCAACCCGAUGCAAACUGCGAAUACCGGAGAAUGUUAUCACGGGAGACACACGGCGGGUGCUAACGUCCGUCGUGAAGAGGGAAACAACCCAGACCGCCAGCUAAGGUCCCAAAGUCAUGGUUAAGUGGGAAACGAUGUGGGAAGGCCCAGACAGCCAGGAUGUUGGCUUAGAAGCAGCCAUCAUUUAAAGAAAGCGUAAUAGCUCACUGGUCGAGUCGGCCUGCGCGGAAGAUGUAACGGGGCUAAACCAUGCACCGAAGCUGCGGCAGCGACACUAUGUGUUGUUGGGUAGGGGAGCG
rnacentral:rRNA from 1 species